rnacentral:misc_RNA from 1 species
AACCUAGCACACCUGCGGUGUGUACCUGCGGAGGGAUCAUUACCUAGAGUUGUAGGCUUUGCCUGCUAUCUCUUACCCAUGUCUUUUGAGUACCUUACGUUUCCUCGGUGGGUUCGCCCGCCGGUUGGACAAAACUUAAACCCUUUGUAGUUGCAAUCAGCGUCUGAAAAAACUUAACAGUUACAACUUUUAGCAAUGGAUCU